rnacentral:rRNA from 1 species
AUUGAACGCUGGCGGCAUGCUUUACACAUGCAAGUCGAACGGUAACAGGCCGCAAGGUGCUGACGAGUGGCGAACGGGUGAGUAAUGCAUCGGAACGUGCCCAGUCGUGGGGGAUAACGCAGCGAAAGCUGCGCUAAUACCGCAUACGAUCUAUGGAUGAAAGCGGGGGACCGUAAGGCCUCGCGCGAUUGGAGCGGCCGAUGUCAGAUUAGGUAGUUGGUGGGGUAAAGGCUCACCAAGCCAACGAUCUGUAGCUGGUCUGAGAGGACGACCUGCCACACUGGGACUGAGACACGGCCCAGACUCCUACGGGAGGCAGCAGUGGGGAAUAUUGGACAAUGGGCGAAAGCCUGAUCCAGCCAUGCCGCGUGUGUGAAGAAGGUCUUCGGGUUGUAAACCUCUUUCAGGAGGGACGAAGCCACUCGGGUGAAUAGCCCAGAGGGUGACGGUACCUCCAGAAGAAGCCCCGGCUAACUACGUGCCAGCCGCCGCCGUAAAAC